UUUUAUAGUCUUUAGUUGUCAAACUCGAUGACUAAAUAAUAAUAAUAAAAUAAAAAAAAUAUCAACAAUUGAUUUAUAAAUAAACGACAAUAACUUUUAUAAUUAUAUUGUUUUGAAUUUUAACUGUCAAAAGUUUGUUGAUAAUAUCAAUUUUGUUGUUAUCAUUUUUAGUUAGAUAAUAAUAAUAUUAAUAAAAUAAUGAUACUGAUAAACAAAUGAUUCAAUGUCUGUAAUUGUUGUUAUAAAUAAUGAGUUAGUUAUUUCUGAAUAAGUGAGUGAAAAAGUGAGUAAAUAAUGACAAUGAAAAUACUAUUAAACAAAUUGAGUUAUUAUGAAAUGUAAAAGUGUCAUCAAGAUCAAGUGUCAUCAAAGAAUAAACUUCAAUGACAUCAACAAAUCCAGAAUAUUUGUAAACUCAACACAAUCAUUUUAAGAGUAUGGAGUUUAAUGACAUCAAUAAAUGCAAUCAUCAACAUGAAAAUAGUGUUAAAAAUCAUACAAUAACAUGUAAAGAUUGCAAAUAUUGUUUAAUAUUAUAUUUUAAUUCAACAAAAAAUUAAUAACACAUUUAAAGAGUUAAAUUUAUCUUUAAAAAAGAGAAUAAAACAAAAUGGAGUUUAUGUUUUCAUGGAAAAAAUUAAAUUAUGAUUAAUCAAAUGUUAAUUUAACAUCUUGAAUUAAUUUUACAUGAACAAUAAUAUCAAAUUUGACAUCUAGAUAAAUUGAUGACAAAUUUUUCAAGUGUCAAUAUAUAAAAUUGAUGAAGAAUCAUCUUGACAGCCAAAAAAAACAAUCCAAAAUCAAAAACGAAUCAAUCAAGAUUUUUUAAUAGAAACAACAAAACAAUCAUUACAAUAAUUGUUUAUUAAUUAAAUAAAUUUUCCCCGCUAAUAUAUAUUGGUAGCCAAUCGAUAAUAAAAUUUUCAUUAUUAUCAAUUCAAGAGUGAUGUGUUAUUGUGUGUUAUUAAAAUCAAGAAGUUAUUAAAAAUUUUUUAACACAUUGACAGUAACAUGAACAAGUGUGCUGUUCGAAUAGCUCAAAAAUCAAAAAACUUUUAAUGAUUAUUGUGUAAAAUAUUAAUAGUUAAGUGAAGCUUUAUUUAUAAUAAAUAAAUUAUAAAUAUUUUUGUCAAUGAAAAUUAAAUGAUUCAUCAGACAUUUCACUGGCCAACACGAGAUAAAUCUACAUUCAGAAAUGGUGAAUGAAAUUAUAGAGUAAUAUAUUCAAGGUCAAGAUGUUGAUAAAAGAAUACAGGAUUCCAUUACCUUUGACUGUUGAGGAAUACAGAAUAGCUCAACUUUAUAUGAUAGCGAAAAAAUCAAGAGAAGAGAGUAAAGGCGUUGGCUCUGGUGUUGAAAUAAUUGAUAAUGAGCCAUAUACUGAUGGACCAGGUGGUUCUGGUCAAUAUACACAUAAAAUAUAUCAUGUUGGUAGUCAUUUACCUGGUUGGUUUAAAAGUUUAUUACCAAAAUCAGCAUUAACUGCUAAAGAAGAAGCAUGGAAUUCAUAUCCAUAUACUAAAACAAGAUAUACAUGUCCAUUUGUUGAAAAAUUUUCAGUUGAAAUUGAAACAUAUUAUUAUCCUGAUAAUGGACAUCAAGAUAAUGUAUUUAAAUUAUCUGGUAGUGAUUUACGUAAUAGAAUUGUUGAUGUUAUUGAUAUUGUUAAAGAUCAACUUUAUGGUGCUGAUUAUGUUAAAGAAGAAGAUCCAAAAGAUUUUAUAUCUGAAAAAACUAAAAGAGGUCCAUUAUAUGAAAAUUGGCUUGAUGAUUAUUGGACUGAAGUUAAAGAUAAAAAACAACCAACAUCAAGUGGUAAAUCAUUAAUGUGUGCAUAUAAAUUAUGUCGUGUUGAAUUUCGUUAUUGGGGUAUGCAAACAAAACUUGAAAAAUUUAUUCAUGAUGUUGCAUUAAGAAAAACAAUGGUACGUGCACAUAGACAAGCAUGGGCAUGGCAAGAUGAAUGGAUUGGUUUAACAAUGGAUGAUAUACGUGAAAUUGAAAAACAAACACAAACAAUGUUAAAAAGAAAAAUGGCUGCUGUUGAAGCUGGUGAAUUAAUUGAUGAUUUAAAUGAUAAUUAUGAUGAUAAUACAAAUUCAAGUAUAACACCACAAGAUAAAGAUGUUGCUAAAACACUUGCAGCAACACUUGGUAGUAUUGAAAAAAAUGAAGAUCCACAAUCACCAUUAUCAAUUAGAAAAACAUCUGAUGUACCAAUUGUUAAUACAAUUAUUGAUUCUGAAGGUGAUGCAACACCUGAUGAUUCACCAACAACACUACUUCCACCAAAAACUGAUGAUAAAUUUGAUAACAAAAAAAAUUGGAAAAGAAAUAGUCAAACAGCACAUUCACCAAAUACAACAAAAGGUUUUGAUGUACAAAUGGCUAAUUGGCGAAUGGAAAGUAUCGUCCGUGAAUCAGAAUCUAGUGAUGAUGAAUAUUUCGAUUGUGAAGAAGAUUUUGGAGAUGAUACGUCACUUGCUAAAUGGAGCUCAUUGGAUAUAUUGAAUGAAAAAGAUGAUGCACCAGUAGUAACAUUAAAUAAACAAGAUGACAGUAUAUUUUCACCGUCAUAUUUUCAACGUGUUGCAAGUGAAAGAAAUCCAAGAAAAUUACAUAUACGUGCAUCAGCAAGUAUUGAUAUGUCAUGUCCAGCAUCACCUCAACAUUCACCAACUCAUCAACCAUGUAGAACAACAGUAUUAUUAAUUGUAAUGCAUGCUGGUAGUGUACUUGAUGCAAAUGUUGAUUUAACAGCUAAAAAAUCAGAUGUAACAACAUUUAGAGGUGCAUUUGAAUCAGUUAUGAGACAACAUUAUCCAACAAUGGUUGGACAUAUUGCAAUAAGAUUUGUAUCAUGUCCAUCAAUAUGUACUGAAGGUCUUGGUAUAUUAUCAAGUUUAAGUCCAUAUAGUUUUGAUGUAUCACCAUCAUGUAUUGAUACACCACAAGUAACACAUGAUACAAUACCAAUUGGUGCAAUACCAAUGCUUGCAACAUCAACACCAGAUUAUCAAGAUUCAAUAACAAAAGUUAUAAAUAGUGCUAAUCAAAUAUAUUCAGAUUUUAUAAAAUGUGAUGAAGGUAAAGGUUUUGCUGGACAAAUAUCAUUUAUUGGUGAUUCAGUUGGUUCAAUAUUAGCAUAUGAUGCAUUAUGUAGAACAACAAAUUCACAAUCACGUCAUGAUAGUGAAAAUAGUAUACUUGAUAAUGACAAUCAACAAAUUAUAAAUAAUAAUGAUAUUGGUGAUGAUGGUAAACAUUUAACAGCACCAAUACCAAGAAGAAGAUCAUCAUCAACAAGUGAAGGAGGACAUACACAACAAUGUAAAUUAGAUUUUGAUGUUUUUGAAUUUUUUAUGUUUGGUAGUCCAUUAUCACUUGUAUUGGCAUACAGAAAAAUAUCAACAAAUGGAGAUAAAAAUUAUUCAAUAUGUCGACCAAUUGUUAAUCAAGUUUAUAAUUUAUUUCAUCCAACUGAUCCAGUUGCUGCUAGAUUAGAACCACUUAUAUCAGCAAGAUUUUCACAUUUACCACCAGUUAAUGUUGCUAGAUAUCAAAAAUAUCCACUUGGUAAUGGACAACCUUAUCAUUUACUUGAAGCUAUUCAAACAAAUCCACAAUUUUUUUGUGAAAGCUUGAAUGCACCAAAUACAUCGCUUCAACAUCUACGACGAAUGUCAGAUAUAUCGAUUCAAAGUACAAUGUCUGGCCUUAUUGACAAUGUUCCAUUUCACACUGUAUCAACAUUAAGUCAAAAAUGGUGGGGUAAUAAAAGACUUGAUUAUGCAUUAUAUUGUCCUGAUGGUUUAACAAAUUUUCCAACAAAUGCAUUACCACAUUUAUUUCAUGCAAGUUAUUGGGAAUCAUCAGAUGUUAUUGCAUUUAUAUUACGACAAAUUGGAAGAUUUGAUUUACCAAUGCUUGGUGGUGAAGAAAAAGAACUAGCAUCAUUUCGUCCAGGUCAACCACGUGAAAAAUGGAAUAAAAAACGUACAUCAGUUAAAUUAAAAAAUGUAGCAGCAAAUCAUCGUGCAAAUGAUGUUAUUGUACGUGAAGGUGCACCACAAAUAUUAAUAGCACGUUUUAUGUAUAGUCCAAUUGAUGUUAUUGCAUUAACUGGUGAAAAAGUUGAUAUACAUGUUAUGAAAGAUGCACCUGGUGGUGAAUGGACAUAUAUUACAACUGAAAUAACAGAUAAAAAUGGUAGAAUAACAUAUAAAAUACCAGAUGAUAAAGCAUUAUCAUAUGGUUUAUAUCCAAUUAAAAUGGUUGUACGUGGUGAUCAUACAUCUGUUGAUUUUUUUAUGGCUGUUAUACCACCAAAUACAGAAUGUGUUGUAUUUAGUAUUGAUGGUUCAUUUACAGCAAGUAUGUCUGUUACUGGUAGAGAUCCAAAAGUACGUGCUGGUGCUGUUGAUGUUGCACGUCAUUGGCAAGAAUUAGGAUAUUUAAUAAUAUAUAUUACAGCAAGACCAGAUAUGCAACAACAAAAAGUUGUAUCAUGGUUAUCACAACAUAAUUUUCCACAUGGUCUUGUAUCAUUUGCUGAUGGUUUAUCAACUGAUCCACUUGGUCAUAAAACAGCAUAUUUAAAUAAUUUAAUACAAGAACAUGGUGUUAUAAUACAUCAUGCAUAUGGUUCAGCAAAAGAUAUUAAUGUUUAUACAGCAAUUAAUUUAAAACAAAAACAAAUUAUUAUUAUUGGAAAAGUAUCAAAAAAACAACAAUCAUAUGCAACAAUAUUAACUGAUGGUUAUGCGGCACAUUUAACACAAUUACAAUCACAUGGUGGAUCAAGACCAGCACAGGGUAAUGCUAGAAUGGUUAUACCAAGAGGACAAUUUGGAUUACCUGGUUUAAAUUCAUCACUACGACGAAGAAGCGCGAAAAGUACGAGCCCCGGCUCUGUUCCAGUAACGACACAAUGAACAGCUCAUCAUCAUCACGAAACAACGUCUUUAUAAUGCGGAAAGUCUACCUUACCCACAUCUAACACUCGUUAACUAUCUACCUACAAUUAAAUCACUCAUAUAUAUUGGUAUCUACUGUGCGAGGAUAAAUUGUAAUUAAUUUAGCCAAUAAUCAAGAGUGUCUAAUGAAGUGUCAUCAUUGAAUUAAUAUAAUAAUUCAUCAUCUCAAAUUGCUGCUACAUUUCAUUCACAAUCGGUCACAACUUAUUCGAAGUUCUUUUAGAUCAACAAAACGUGCAAUUUCACAUCCAGGUUUUGUUGGUAAAACUGAAAUUUUGGAAAGAAGCACGAGUGUUGGACCAAUUGGUAAAUCACGUAAUUCU
rnacentral:misc_RNA from 1 species